rnacentral:rRNA from 1 species
UACGUAGGGUGCAAGCGUUGUCCGGAAUUAUUGGGCGUAAAGAGCUCGUAGGCGGUUCGUCGCGUCGGCUGUGAAAACCCGGAGCUCAACUCCGGGUCUGCAGUCGAUACGGGCGGACUCGAGUUCGGCAGGGGAGACUGGAAUUCCUGGUGUAGCGGUGAAAUGCGCAGAUAUCAGGAGGAACACCGGUGGCGAAGGCGGUCUCUGGGCCGAUGACUGACGCUGAGGAGCGAAAGCGUGGGAGCGAACAGG